UACGUAGGGUCCGAGCGUUGUCCGGAAUUACUGGGCGUAAAGAGCUCGUAGGUGGUUUGUCGCGUUGUUCGUGAAAACUCACAGCUCAACUGUGGGCGUGCGGGCGAUACGGGCAGACUGGAGUACUGCAGGGGAGACUGGAAUUCCUGGUGUAGCGGUGGAAUGCGCAGAUAUCAGGAGGAACACCGGUGGCGAAGGCGGGUCUCUGGGCAGUAACUGACGCUGAGGAGCGAAAGCGUGGGGGAGCGAACAGGA
rnacentral:rRNA from 1 species